rnacentral:lncRNA from 1 species
GUUGCCGUCAGCGGCGAAGGUGAGGGUUGCGUUCUCGCGGACGGGGCGGCUCCGGUUGGCCUCCCACACCCACCGGCGGAGAGACUCCGACCGCGGGGUGCCCAUGCGGAUGGCCAGCUUGUAGGCAUUGGGGGUGGUGUUGUAGAAGGUCAGCUGGAAGGGCGAUCCGACGACGUCCACGGCGCGGUAGGUGGCAUCGUACUCGGCGAUGGUGUCGACGAACUCGCCCUCGUUGACGAAUCUGAAUCGAUCCUUCACCGGGACCUUGUCAAGGGCCGUCGCGGCGGCGCAGAGGGUUAAGAGGAGGAAGGAGAGGAAGAUCGGAGGCUCCAUGGAUGACGUUUCCAGGCUUUUCUCAGGUCUGAUGUGUCGAUGGAUUGAAACAAAUGCGAAGAUGAGCAUGUUCUUAUAGAAGCUCCAGGGGGGGAUGGUGGGUGGGAGAAGACGGCCGGCGGCGUCUCCCUCUUCACCAUUGACGUCAUCUUUCCUACCUCCGGUCCCUGCGCCACCUGCGGCUUAGGGAAAGAUGCGGUCAGAAACAUGGGACCUGUAAAAUACCGUCGCCCAACUGGCUACGGCCCAUUAAUGGUCAACGAAGCGAAAGAAAACCAUGGGCAGAUCUUGUUUCCUGCAAUAGGGGAUUGGGGAGACUUCCCAGGUCAUUUUUCAUGGUUCCCACUUCCGAAGAUGAUGCCAGAGAAAACUGGGGAUGACAUCAACGGGGAAUGGCCAAAGGGAAAGAAACUACGACGGUACUGCGAGUGACGUGUAGGAUAAGUACUCAGCUCGGUGUGACUAUUUAUCUACAUAAAACAUGAAACCUAAAAUAAAAUAAUGGUAAAGUCGUACUUCUAUAUAAGAGAGCAUGUACACCCAAUAUUUCAUAAAUGAAUUACAUAACUGAACCCUUUGAUAUUUUAAUUUUGUGUUCUAAAAUGUAUUUCCUAUCCUCACAACCUUCUAGCCAGUCCUCAUCCCACCAUCCCCGUCUCAUUAGAGAUGAUUGAUAUCUAGAGCACUCUAUACCUUAUACUCUAAUGAGCAUCAACAUUGCACUAUCGCCUCUCUAUGAUCUCCUACAACUUGUUACACCCCAUCUCAAUUGCUUCAGUUCUUCUACACUUAAAAUGAUAUUUCUUAACUAAAAUCCAAAAUGUAUUGUAGAACUACAUCUUCUUAUAUAUUUUCUUUAAGUAACAACAAUAUUCCAAGCAUUAAAGUCACACCAGUUUUUCAUUAGACUCAAAUACAUUGCUUGAUUAGACUAAAUUUCACUUUUUGGAAGGUCCAAGCUAAAAUAAUUAAUGACAUUAAGACAAUAUCAACAUCAAAUGAUCUCAAAUUCAAAAAAAAAUGUCAAAAUCGUGAUCAUCAAGUCAUCGUCUUGACUUCUUAACUCUAUGGACCCAAAACAUUCUAGACUAUUUAUUAUAUCUCGUAUGACCAAGAGAUCAAUGGAAUUAAGGUAAUUUCUUCUACUCAACAUUAUGAAAUGAUGACACUAAAGCAUAAUUCAAUCUUGCAACCUUUUAAUUGAUCUUACAAGUGGUUUUCAUCAUCAAAAUUAUAUGUAUUUAGUGCUCCAGCAACUAUCACUUCUAAUGUUCUCCAAGGAUUACACAAAAGUAAUGACAGACCUAGGGAUCAAAUAGAUAUCAACACUAUCAACCGAAUUUCUUCAGAGCAGUUCAUCCUCCGCCAAUUUUCUGACUUCAACAUAUUAGAUAGUCUACUAUAAUAGUGUCACUCCAUUGAGUUUUUGGCUCCAAUCUAUUAUACAAUUCAAGCUGAUGUAAGACUUGAGUACAUGGUGCACUUCAAGGCUUCAAAAUAUUUGGUGUGGUUUCUAACAUAUAUAGAUAGUUAUUAAACUUCAGGAAGGGUACCAAAAUCUUUUUUUGAUCCAAUGACUAUCUCUACAUGGUUCCAACCAGUAUUCUUCUGGGUUUAGCCAUUCAUAAUCCUUCCAUUGAUGUCUAGGCAGCUCCAAAUCUUGGGGAUGACUUAUCCUUUGAAUUUUUUGAUGUUUGUAGGUUUUCAAGGACAUAUUGAAGGUGAAUUUGAGCGAUGUGGAACACCCUCUCCUCAACAUUUGGCAUGGGGAGAAUAACUCCACCUCUUACGUGAUGAGUUUUGGAGAGUCCAAUCUCUAUUUGCAAUGGCUAUUAAAGGCUGGAAAUUUAAACAUUAGUCAUCAUAUCAAAACCUAAAAUAUGGCUUCAGAAAAUAUUUGUUAACCUUUUAAACUUUAUAUCAAAUCAAGUUCUUCACCUCUCAUUUUAAUUUUCUGAACAACAUCUAGUUCGUUUCCACAGUUUACUGCUAAGUUCACUUGUAAGCUCAUGUGGAAGUUGUGCCCUCCAUCUCCUCUUUUGACGUUCGGUUGAAGUCCCCUCACAUAGGAUGAGAUUUGGGGCCGUCCAACCUACAUUUGUUGGGAAUAUUAGCAGCUAGAAAUCCAACCAUUAGUUGUCGCAACAUCUUAAACAUAACUUCACAAAAUAUUUGUUAAUGUUGUAAAUUUCAUAGAAAAACAAAAUCUUUGAAUUUGGAUGCACUAUUUAUUGCAUUUUGGCAAAAUUGUGCUUCUGAAAAACAUUGACUGACAACCUUUUAAAAAAUAAAGCAAUUGAAUUAAACGCAUAUCUCCUUUCUCGUCUACGUUGAAGGUUUUAAAUACAAUGCUGAAUGGUACAACAAACCAUAUUCAUGAACAUGUUCUCUUGAGAGUUUUUUGGGCUUGGACCAAGGAAACUUGUCAUCAAGUCAUAGCUUCGCAGGAUCUACACGUCCUUAUUUACAUUAAUCUAAAGCAACGCCCAGUGUAGUACAUAGUUAUAUAUCAAAUAAAACGUUACAAUUCCCAUCAGCCCGAUCUGGCCUAGGCCUAAAUCUAUGAGCCUUCGAGUCCAGAUAGGAUGUAACUGGCCCUCACCGUAGGUAGAAGCUUAUCUCAAAGAGGAGAGAGAGGGGAAGAGAAAGAGUGGGGGAGGGGGGGGAGGCAACAGUGAUCGAGAAAUGGAUAUAGAGAGAGUAGGAGAAAUAGAUUGUAGUGGCCGACAGACCUCCGUUGGUGCCGCCUCCAGAUCUGAAAUAAAACCAAAGUUAACUCCCGAGGCGAGUCAGGCAUAAAUCGGACGUCACCUCAGAUCUAUCUUCAUUGAUGGGGAAAUUGCAACGCGCCGACACUGGCGUAGAAAAUAUGUUUUCGGACUUUAUUCGUGUCUUUCCUUCAUCUCUUACACAUUUAUAGAGAAAGACGAACUUAAAGAGAGACUCAAGGAUGUGGAGAGUGAGAGUUUUUUUCACUCUGACAUGGACGAUUUGACCACCUCAAGAGAACUUGACGUAAGCGACGUGCCUCUGGUUGUUGACCGCGUUGAGAGUUCCCAGGACCGGAGUCAGCCAGCACUUCGAGCUCUCCUCCCAAUACAGGAUCCCAAGGCAGUUGCAGUCCACGUUGCACCUACGCUUGCACUCCCCGAGGCUCAGCUUUCCCUCCCCGUCCGAGUACCGGGUCAGGAAAUGCUCCACUCCGGCCACCUUGAUGUAGCUGGGAUUCGCUGUCGGUCCGCAGGUCUUCCUCACUGGAGUCCCGCAGCGCGGCGACCACCCCGUUGUGCCCUUCUUCGUGGGGCACGCUACGCACUGCUCGCCGUCGCAGAUCCCGAGAGGUGAGCACUUGCUGGGCUUGUAGCAGGCGCUGAACGAGAAAAAGAACGGAUCUAGGCUGAAAAGAGAGAAGGUCUUCUCCCAGGCGUUGAACUCAACCCUAUCGUCGUAGGUGUACACGAUCAGGUCACCGUCUGGUGUCAAGCGGAGGAACGACAGGUUACUGUCAUAUUUGGUCGCCGUCAGAAUGUAGCCGAACGACAAUUCGUAGGUCACGUUAUCUUCGCUUCUGCAUACGAAGGUGCCCGGAACCCUCAACAGUGAACCGAAUGUGGCCGGAACUCUGGAGUUGUUGAAGUAUACGAGAGGCUUGGGGGAGGCGUCCACAUACAGAAUGGGCUCCCCCGACUGUAUUACCAAGCUGUAGAUCCCAGGGGAGCCAUCGGACUCCGAUUUGCGGCUCACUAGCUUGGCGGCGCCUUUCGCCGGGAUGGACUGCCCCACGAGGAGGGUGUCCGUGGGGUAGUCGAAGCUCUGCCAGAGAUACCUCCCCUUCUUAUUGUAGAGCACCAUGUUCCCGCUGUGGAGGAUUUGAAUACCGACGACCCCCUUGUUGGCGGUGCCCGUGGACCAGACGACGGUACCAUCAGCGUCGGCGAGGAUGAGGUUGCCGUCGGCGCCGAAGGUGAGUGUGGCGUUCUCGCGGACGGGUCGACUACGGUUGGCCUCCCACACCCACCGCCGGAUCGACCCAGACCGAGGGGUGCCCAUGCGGAUGGCCAGCUUGUAGGCAUUGGGGGUGGUGUUGUAGAAGGUCAGCUGGAAGGGCGAUCCGACGACGUCCACGGCGCGGUAGGUGGCAUCGUACUCGGCGAUGGUGUCGACGUACUCCCCCUCGUUGACGAAUCUGAAUCUGUCCUUCUCCGGCACCUUGUCGAGCGCCGCCGCGGCUCCGGCGAGCCCCAAGAGGAGGAAGGAGAAGAAGAUUGGAGAGGGCAUGGGUGUCAUUCUCAGUUUCCCCUGAUGUCGGCGUGUGAAUAGAUCGAACCAAACGCGAAGAGAGACAAACUCUUUCUUAUAUUUGUGUCGGGCUGGAAGACGAGGGGAGGUGCGUCCUCUCCUGCUUAUCCGCUGGGAAUCGUCGUCGGUGGCUCACAGUCUGCUCUGAAGUAAAUAAUUCGUCGUGAUCUUCCCCAAUGCACUUGCAGCCCCGCGGAAAGGAGCUCGGUUUGAACGAUUUCAAGUAACCGCGUGGCAGAUCCGCCUUCUGCGA